rfam:Pteropus alecto contig104281, whole genome shotgun sequence.
CCAAAGGCUCUUUUAAGAGCCACUCGCCUCUCUUAAAGGCCUGUAG